rnacentral:rRNA from 1 species
AGAGGGUGACCGGCCACACUGGGACUGAGACACGGCCCAGACUCCUACGGGAGGCAGCAGUGGGGAAUAUUGCACAAUGGGCGAAAGCCUGAUGCAGCGACGCCGCGUGAGGGAUGACGGCCUUCGGGUUGUAAACCUCUUUCAGUAGGGAAGAAGCGAAAGUGACGGUACCUGCAGAAGAAGCGCCGGCUAACUACGUGCCAGCAGCCGCGGUAAUACGUAGGGCGCAAGCGUUAUCCGGAAUUAUUGGGCGUAAAGAGCUCGUAGGCGGUUUGUCGCGUCUGCUGUGAAAGACCGGGGCUCAACUCCGGUUCUGCAGUGGGUACGGGCAGACUAGAGUGCAGUAGGGGAGACUGGAAUUCCUGGUGUAGCGGUGAAAUGCGCAGAUAUCAGGAGGAACACCGAUGGCGAAGGCAGGUCUCUGGGCUGUAACUGACGCUGAGGAGCGAAAGCAUGGGGAGCGAACAGGAUUAGAUACCCUGGUAGUCCAUGCCGUAAACGUUGGGCACUAGGUGUGGGGGACAUUCCACGUUUUCCGCGCCGUAGCUAACGCAUUAAGUGCCCCGCCUGGGGAGUACGGCCGCAAGGCUAAAACUCAA